UACGUAGGUGGCAAGCGUUAUCCGGAUUUACUGGGUGUAAAGGGCGUGUAGGCGGGGAAGCAAGUCAGAUGUGAAAACCACGGGCUCAACCUGUGGCCUGCAUUUGAAACUGUGUUUCUUGAGUACUGGAGAGGCAGACGGAAUUCCUAGUGUAGCGGUGAAAUGCGUAGAUAUUAGGAGGAACACCAGUGGCGAAGGCGGUCUGCUGGACAGCAACUGACGCUGAGGCGCGAAAGCGUGGGGAGCAAACAGG
rnacentral:rRNA from 1 species